GGGGGCGUACUGGUUUCGACAGGGGUAGUUAUGGUAUAGGUAGCGAGCCGGGGUUCCAUCAGCCCGUCAACACGGUGGAAAAAAGUAAACGCAAACAACGAAUACGCUUUAGCAGCUUAAUGCUAACGUUCUGCCUGCGCACUCCCGCGGCCUAGGACAGGACGUCAUUUAGUGGGAUACCUGAGGCUCAAUUCUCGGAGAGCCGACUGGGAAACUUUAUCGAGAUAGCAACGGCGAAGCCUGUCUGUGGGCGUCAACGGCGCGAAAUUUUAAAUCACCGACUGCGCUCGGAGAAGCUUAUGCAGUAACAUUCUUGGACAGGAGUUCGAUUCUCCUCGCCUCCACCA
rnacentral:tmRNA from 1 species